UUGUUCAUUGGUUUGUACGGGGUAGGCAAGGACAGCUGAGUUAUGGAGCUCUGACAUCUCUUGCGCUCCUUCUUCUACGGGGCUACUACUGCAGUAUUCUGGUUUUGGUGCUAUGGAGUUCUGUGGCAUGGCUAAAGAAGAUUUGAUAUGCAAAACUAAAGGAAGGACUAGCUAGUACUGGCUGUCAUGGCAAUCAUAGUGUUUUUUGCAGCAUUUUUGUCUAUGUACUAUCUCAUGGAGCAAGUGGGUCUACUGCUUCAUGCUGCAUACCCCAGAGAUUUUUGAUUUUUUUGAGCUAUUUGUUGCAUAUGGCUUUCAGAUAUGCUCUGUGCAUAAUGUGUUUGUGGGCAUGUGAAGAUGGAAAGCAUUGGAAAUCUGAAUAUUGCAGAUUUGCUAGUGUCAGUGAUGACUCUUCCACCAUUCCAACAAUGAGGCUUGCAUGAAAACUGUGGCAAACCCUAAUCACUUUCUAGGUCUGGCAGUUCUUUUGUUAAUAACAUGCUAAAAGGCAUCUACAUUAAUUUGUAGUGUUGUGUCAUGUCUAUUUCAAGUGAGUAUACUUUUGGGUUGAA